rnacentral:tRNA from 1 species
GGGAAUGUGACUCAGUGGUAGAGCGCUUGCCUUGCAUGCAUAAGGCCCUGGGUUCGAUUCCUCAGCACCA